CCUACGGGUGGCAGCAGUGGGGGAUAUUGGACAAUGGGGGAAACCCUGAUCCAGCGACGCCGCGUGAGUGAAGAAGUAUUUCGGUAUGGAAAGCUCUAUCAGCAGGGAAGAAAGAAAUGACGGUACCUGAGUAAGAAGCACCGGCUAACUACGUGACAGCAGCCGCGGUAAUACGUAGGGGGCAAGCGUUAUCCGGAAUUACAGGGUGUAAAGGGAGAGGAGACGGUAAUGCAAGUCUGGAGUGAAAGGCGGGGGCCCACCCCCCGGACUGCUCUGGAAACUGUGUAACUGGAGUGCAGGUGAGGCAGGCGGAAUUCCUAGUGUAGCGGUGAAAUGCGUAGAUAUUAGGAGGAACACCAGUGGCGAAGGCGGCCUGCUGGACUGUAACUGACGUUGAGGCUCGAAAGCGUGGGGAGCAAACAGGAUUAGAUACCCGGGUAGUC
rnacentral:rRNA from 1 species